UACGUAGGGAGCAAGCGUUGUCCGGAAUCAUUAGGCGUAAAGCGCGCGUAGGUGGCUUCGUAAGUCCGUUGUGAAAGUCAAAGGCUCAACCUUUGAAAGCCGAUGGAUACUGUGGAGCUAGAGUACGGAAGAGGCGAGUGGAAUUCCUGGUGUAGCGGUGGAAUGCGCAGAUAUCAGGAGGAACACCGGUGGCGAAGGCGGGUCUCUGGGCCGAAACUGACGCUGAGGAGCGAAAGCGUGGGGAGCAAACAGG
rnacentral:rRNA from 1 species